AUGAUCCAAGGUUCAGAGCCUGCCCUCCUAGCAUUUUCAGCUGACUUUUUACAAAUUAAACAGCAGACAUGUCUUAAUACAAGUCUCGUACAAGACCAUAUAGAUAUGAACACAAACUCUUCUCCCGUAAAAGACACACAGAAGAAGACAACUGCAACAGCCUUAACUCAAUCUCCCAUGUCAAAAAUGAAGGAGAAAUGUUCACUUCUGGAAAUCGAUAUGGUGGAUCUAAGAGAAUUAAUCAUGUCCAAUUUGAAAGACAACAGCGACUUGGAGCAGCUUACAAAGGACAUGAUUAAUUUAAAACAAGAGACAGAAUAUCUGCUGAGAAACAAAGAGCAGAUGUCAAAGGAACUUCACCAAGCCAGAGAAGAGCUGAAGGAACUCAAAUCAACUUUCAGAAGACAAAUCACAGAAAUCAAAACAGAAAUGCAGGAAGAACUGUCUGUCUUGAAAUCUGAACUUCGAAAGAAAGAUGAACUUAUAAACAACAUGAAGGAACAACUGCUUCAUGAUUUAUCUCCCAAAGGAUCCGAUGCUAAACACUUGACCGGUCUGGACGGUCAGCAAUCAUCUGCAGUGGACGAGCCUCAGUCUUCAUCAGCUCCUCACAACUCCAGCCCAGCAGAAGCCCUUCUUCUCAUCGACUCCAACGGGAAAUACAUCAACCAGAAACUCUUGUUUCCAAAAAUGAAAGCACAGAAAAUGUGGUGCCCGAACACUAGCAAGGCUCUUCAGAUCUUAUCUGAUAAAAAUCUGAACGAAACGUACAAGCACAUCAUAAUCCACACAGGGACAAACGAUCUAGGAGCAGCAAAGGGCAACGUGGCUCCUGUGCUCCGAGAGCUGGCCAUCAGAGCCUCAGAACGCUUCCCAGAAGCUCAGAUAACUCUGUCCACGUUACUGCCACGGACUGAUGUGCCCUUUCACGUGAUCCACGGAAACAACGUAGAGCUUUCCAGAACCUGUGCACUCAUUCCUAAUGUUCACCUGGCACACCAUAAAGACAUCCGGCCCCAUCACAUGUAUGACUACAUACACCUCAACAAGAAAGGAGUACAACUUUUCGCAGGAGUGCUGAAAAGCACAGCACUUGGAAGAACAAACAGCAGAAAUCUGCACAGCAAGAACAGCUCCCAACUACACAGAAACAUCCAGCCUCGUCCAAGAACCAGACAGGACUCGACCCCUGGACCGCCAUCACAGCAUCAGAGCUACGCUGCAGCAACCCAACAGCCACAGAACAGGACCGAUCUGAGAGCAACUCUGAGUAAGGAAAAGACAAACACUUUCAUCUUAGUGAGGAGGCGGGGUUGA
rnacentral:lncRNA from 1 species